ACGCUAUGAUGAAUACCUUUUCUGUGUUCCUGAGGCUGUCCGUGCCUUUGACGGCUACACAAAUCCUCUAAGAAGUUCUGAGCUU
rfam:Morus notabilis contig18169, whole genome shotgun sequence.